ensembl:lncRNA
GCGGCCGGCACUUUCCCGCGCCUCGGGGGGCGGGGACAGGUCCCACAUCACGUGAUCUGAAGGGGCGGGGAUAUGCGAGUAGUGGGCGUGGUUAUGCGAGGAGUGGGCGGGGCCUCCUCGUGUAGGGAGAGAUCCCAAAAUCCCCCGAAAUUUGGGAAUUCUGCCGGGAAUUCGGGGUUCGGAGGGGGCUGGAUCCCAAAAUUCCCGAUCCCAAAUCCCGAAUUCCCAAAUUCCCGAUCCCAAAUCCCAGUCCCGAUCCUGUUCCUGGCCCUAAAAUCCCAUUCCCUGCCCCACUUCCCGAUCCCAAAUUCCCCAAAUCCCAAAUUCCCGAAUUCCCGAAUCCAUUCCCGCUCUGCCCCGUUCCCUGUCCCAAAUCCCAAAUUCCCGAAUUCCCGAUCCCAAAUCCCGAAAUUCCCGAUCCCAAAUCCCCAAGUCCCGAAUUCCCGAUCCCAAAUCCCAAAUUCCCGAUCCCAAAUCCCGAAUUCCCAAAUCCCCAAAUCCCGAAUUCCCCGUUCCCUUUUCCCUCCCGGCCGCUCCUCCCCAUUCCCGAUCCCAAAUCCCGAAUUCCCGAUCCCAAAUCCCAAAUUCCCGAUCCCAAAUCCCAAAUCCCGAAUUCCCAAAUCCCGAAUUCCCCCGUUCCCUCCCGGCCGCUCCUCCCCAAUUCCCGAUCCCAAAUUCCCGAAUUCCCGAAUUCCCGAAUUCCCAAAUCCCAAAUCCCGAGUUCCCCCGUUCCCUCCCGGCCGCUCCUCCCCAUUCCCGAUCCCAAAUCCCAAAUCCCCGAUCCCAAAUUCCCGAAUUCCCGAAUUCCCGAAUUCCCAAAUCCCAAAUCCCGAGUUCCCCCGUUCCCUCCCGGCCGCUCCUCCCCAUUCCCGGGGCGGGGCCGGGGACAAAGGGGGAAAAGUUCCGCGGGGCCGGGAACAGAAGGAUCGGGAAAAGCGGGAAGAGCUCGGCGUUCCCGGGAAAAUCCGGCGUUCCCGGGAAAAUCCGGGAUUCCCGGGAAAGUCCGGCGUUCGCGGGAAAGUCCGGCGUUCGCGGGAAAGUCCGGCGUUCGCGGGAAGUUUUCUGGAGAUUCCCGGGAAGUUUUUUGGGAUCGUCCCGGGAUGCGGCGGAGCUGAGCGAGGCCGCGGAAUUCCGGGACCGGAGCGGGAAUUCGGGGAUCCCAUGGCAGGAAAUUUUGGGAUCUUUGUCAGGAUUUUUUUGGGAUCCAUGACAGGAUUUUUUUGGGAUCUGGGACAGGAACUCCGGGAGCGGAGCGGGAAUUCGGGGAUCUUUGUCAGGAAUUUUUGGGAUCUGUGACAGGAAUUUUUGGGAUCUGUGACAGGAAUUUUUGGGGAUCUUUGUCAGGAUAUUUUUUGGGAUCCGUGACAGGAAUUUUUGGGAUCCGUGACAGGAAUUUUUGGGAUCCGUGUCAGGAUUUUUUUUGGGAUCCGUGUCAGGAAUUCCGGGACCGGAGCGGGAAUUCGGGGAUCCCAUGGGGGCCCCCCCCCCCGGCUGGCGCCGCCUGGCCCCGCUCGGGGCCGCCCUGGGCGUCUGCGUGGCCGUGGGAUUCACCCUGGGGCUCCUGGGGGGGCCCCAGCGCCGCAGGUGAGACCCCAAAUCCCGGGAAAAACCCAUGGGAAAAUCCCGGGAAUUCCAUGGGAAAAUCCCGGGAAAAUCCCGGAAUUCCUGGGGGUUCAAAUCCCUAAAAAACGGGGGGAAUUCGGGGGGGUUUUGUCACCCUGGGGCUCCUGGGGGGAGCAGGUGAGACCCCAAAUCCCGGGAAAAUCCCUGGGAAAAUGCCGGGAAUUCCAUGGGAAAAAUCCAUGGAAAAGUCUGGGAAUUCCAUGGAAAAAUCCUGGGAAUUCCAUGGGAAAAUCCAUGGGAAAAUCCCCGGGAAUUCCAUGGGAAAAUCCCUGGGAAUUCCAUGGGAAAAUCCUGGGAAUUCCAUGGGAAAAUUGAUAUUCCAUGAGAUAUCACAACCACAACACCAAAUAUCGCGAUUCGACUGCGAUAUCGCAACCACAACACCAAAUAUCGCGAUAUUUGCUGUGAGAUAUCGCAACCACAACACCAAAUAUCGCGAUAUUCGCUGUGAGAUAUCGCAACCACAACACCAAAUAUCGCC